UGUGUUAGUUACUCCUCUGAA
rnacentral:piRNA from 1 species